rfam:Candidatus Parvarchaeum acidophilus ARMAN-5 ARM5contig_1683, whole genome shotgun sequence.
GUCGGGGUAGUACAGCGGUAGUACGCCGCCCUCAUGAGGCGGAGGUCAUGGGUUCAAAUCCCAUCCCCGACA